rnacentral:rRNA from 1 species
UACGUAGGGUGCGAGCGUUGUCCGGAUUUAUUGGGCGUAAAGAGCUCGUAGGCGGUUUUGUCGCGUCGGCCGUGAAAUCUCCACGCUUAACGUGGAGCGUGCGGUCGAUACGGGCAGACUUGAGUUCGGUAGGGGGAGACUGGAAUUCCUGGUGUAGCGGUGAAAUGCGCAGAUAUCAGGAGGAACACCGGUGGCGAAAGGCGGGGUCUCUGGG